CGGCUGAACGAUCGAUAACCAUAACAAUCUAGACAAGACGACAAGGGAUUACAACAGUAUCAGGUGGAUGUAAAGGCUUUUAUGGCCAUCACAACAACAAAAAUCGUGGCGACAGAGUUUGCGCACCCCUUGACAGCACCUCGUUCACUUCCUUUCACGGAGAUGAGACUUUUCUGUUGGAGAAAGUCACCGGAUUCCAUGAUCUUAUCCCAUUAUAAUCUAUCAUCUGGCCAAAGAGUGAUUCUCAUAAGUAGCGAGGCAUUCAGGUAAUGUCUGACCUCCUGGAUGAGACAGCAGAUGGAAUCAACACAGAUUCCAAUGGCUUGACCUGUAUCGAACCUUCAGCAUGGGACACCAUCCUUAGUGAGUCCAGCUUCGGUAUUUUCGAUAACAUUUGAGUGAGUUUUGAUAUUGAAAUCACCUGUAGAAGUAAUGAUAGCGCUUAUGAUCACAGAGCUUGUCGUCGGUAUCACAUUUAUGUGUAUUAGGUCGAAACGGCAUCGAGUGGACCAUGAGCAUGGGACGGUGCAUGCUUAUAAGGGUUGGCUGAAUCGAAAGCUCAAGCGAAAAGGGCACGUGAAGUAGGAAGAGAGUCUCGUGCUUAGUAACUCGAACGCUGAAAACUGGGAAUACUGGCGUUCUGAUGAUGAAGCCUUAACGGCAGUCUCUGUCACUGAUUAUUCUAUGGAAUGCAUACUAAUGCCACUUG
rnacentral:sRNA from 1 species